GAGAUGCAAAAAGCCUGCGGCGCUCGGAGGCGCCUGGUCCUGGGGACCUCUUUCCUCCACUCUAUGCUCAGCAUAGGAAGAUGGGGCUGGGGAAUUCUUUUUUGGUUUUCUGAUUUUGUUUUGCUCUGGUUUUGGUUGGGUUUUGUAUUUUCCUAUUCUUCCUUGGUUUUAUUUUUUUCCUUUUUUCUUUUUUGCGCUUUCUUUCCUGUCAUUCUCCCAGCCAAAAGCCGCCUUCGACCCUUUUGAUUUGAUGUAGCAAAGAGUGUGUGUCCAGAUUAUCUGAAAUAGACACUGAAGAAGCUACACAGAUGGUCAAGCAGGGCCCGGACGAAGACCAUUCAGGAAAAAGCGGUCCAUGAGUCGGUGAUGGGCUGCCCGCAGAGUGGUGUGGCUCAGACCUGGUGACUUUUUGGAGAGGCCGUAGAAUGAGGACAGCAGACACACGAGGACCUUGACUUCGGUGCACAGACAGUGCAAAAAGGAGACAAAGACGGACAGAACCGAAAAAAGAGCAUUAUUUCCCCCUCCUACGUAUUUUUUUUUUCCUGAUAGUCUCACAAAGCUGAAAGUCUGGUCGGGUCCAGCGGGUUGUCUUGUGGCACUGGCUGUCUCCAGUGGCUGUGCCUGCGCUUUGAGGCCACUCUGCUGUCACCGUGGCCCAAACCAGGUUCGGAGCCAGAGCUGAAAAGUCGCUGGGCCAGACUUUUAGGGGCUCUGAGGAGGCAGCAAGCCCUCUGUCUUCACUGUUCAUUUUUCUUUUCUUUUUAGCCCUCCCGCCCCCGCCCCUGGGCCCUUCUCCUCCCGGCCCAGGGCAAGCGAAAAGGUAGAUUAACCUGGUGGCGGGAGGGCCAGGCCAAGGGAGACGGGUAGGAAGCGGGUGAGUGCGAACUGACAACCUCACAUUAGUUGAGGCUGCUGCAUAGCUUCUUGGUGCGCUGAGGGAUACCAUGACGUGUAGCUGGGGACGUAGGAGCCAGCGCUGCUGCCGGAGCCCUUCCCAGAUGAGGAGUUCGGAUUCCAGCCCGGUGGUACCGGUGGGGAGCCGGCAGACAAGGCCCUGCCGUUUGCCAGCGCGCUGCCCUCCAGAGCUGCCCCGCCUUGCUUCAUCAGCUUCUUGAACUUGGAGCGUUUGUUCUGGAACCAUAUCUUGACCUGCAGGAUCGGGCGACAACAUGACUAGUCUAUGACCACUGAGCCUACCCAGGUCUAGGGAGGAAAAAGGGGACUGGUGGACAACACCCGCCCUCCUUCCUUCGGAAAAGCUGACAGCUCCAGGAUAAAGGGGCAGAGACCAUCGCCUCCCCAGCCCACCAUGAGCGCCAAAUGCCAGAAUAUUGAGCCCCACGUCGGGCCGCUGCUGGCAGCCUUUAGAGCAGCUCUCAGAGCCGGGGGAUAAGAGAACAGGGGAGAGUCAGGUCUUGGCUUGCAAAAGAGUCGGUGCCACCCGGGCUGAUGUUUAUGGAAGACCUCAUGUAGAACAAUGCAAUAACAAUAAAGAAAAUUUAAAACCUAGAUAGGAAUGGAGGGCAUUUAUUAAAAUUAGAUCACCUUUCCUUUGUACCUUUCUACCUUUGGAUGAGUCGAAGGACUGAUGGAAGAGGCUACUGCGGCUUUGUUAAACUCUUUAGACUCAAUCCAACUUUUUUUUUUCUUUUACCUUCCUAAGUGUAUUUGCUUUCCCCAGCUCCAACCUAUAUCUAGAGACAGACUUUGGAAAUCGGCAUCAGCUCCGGUUCUAAUACUUACAAACUGCCCAGGGUCUUAGAGAUAUGUAGGAAGAAAAAAAAAAUCUCACUUUUUUUUUCUUCUUAAAGAUCUGGAACUUGGGAAGUGAAGAACCAAAGGGAAGGAUCCGCCUCUGCCACCUCACAAGAAGGAGGAGGUGGGGGGAGCAGGCUUAGGCCCAGGAUCCGAGUGAUUAGUUACACACUUUAAAGGCAAGGGAAGAUUAAACCCCCUUCUAUUGUUCCAGUUGUUCAGGCACGUGUGACCUCAGAAUCUCCAAACAAAGCGUCUGGGGAAAUCCUUCCAGUUCCCUGCCUGAUCACAAGUCCAGGGACAGAAGACCAAGUAGCCUGCAGGUCAGGGUAGGGUCCGAGCUAGGGCAAACUGUUUGAGGGAGGGAGGGGAGAAGCUGAAAGUCAGAGGUGGACACACACACACACACACACACACACACACACGCACGGGAGGGGGGCGGACAGUGACACCUAGAACCAGAGGCCCAACGAACAAAAAAUGUGAAGCCUGGGGUUCAAGCCCAGCUCCGGAAGCCUGUUUGGCGGAGCGGCCAUGUACCUGAGUCUGUGUGAGUCCCAAGGAGGCCGCCAGCUCCGCCCUCUCAGGCAGAGCUAGGUACUGAGUUUGUUGGAACCUCCGGUUCAAAGCCUGCAACUGCAAACUGGAAUAAAUUGUCCUGGGUUUACGGAUCUUUUUCCCUUUGCCGUUAAAGCGCACUUCACCGCCUUCCACCACGGUGCUCUUCUCGGAGUCCGCCCCUGGAGGGACAACAGAAGCAGAGACCCUUGUUAUUGCUGCCUUUAGUGAGGAGGGACGAGAAUGAAUGUCUAUGGAUGGGUUGGCAGAGGCAGGGUCCGAAAAAGAACGUUCAAGAAACCCUGAAAGACCGAGAGGGUCCCCCAAGGUCCGAACGCAAGGUCCCUGGUUGCUGCAGACGGAAUUGGGUCGUUCCCAAGAGCGCAGCUAUUGCCUUUGCAGAGAAAGUUUGCUAUUUUUUGCAGGCGGUAGUUGAGGUUUAAUUACCCUUAAUUGCAUACAUUGUUUAUAGCGCUACGCAAUAAAUAAUUACCGAGA